GACGAACGCUGGCGGCGUGCUUAACACAUGCAAGUCGAACGGAAUGCUCUUGACUGAUGUUUCGGCCAAUGGAUUGAGUUACUUAAUGGCGGACUGGUGAAUAACGCGUGAGGAACCUGCCUUUCAAAGGGGGACAACAGCUGGAAACGGCUGCUAAUACCGCAUGACGCAUGACCGGGGCAUCCCGGACAUGCCAAAGAUUUUAUCGCUGAAAGAUGGCCUCGCGUCUGAUUAGAUAGUUGGCGGGGUAACGGCCCACCAAGUCAACGAUCAGUAGCCGGACUGAGAGGUUGACCGGCCACAUUGGGACUGAGAUACGGCCCAGACUCCUACGGGAGGCAGCAGUGGGGAAUAUUGGGCAAUGGACGCAAGUCUGACCCAGCAACGCCGCGUGAAGGAAGAAGGCUUUCGGGUUGUAAACUUCUUUUGUCAGGGAACAGUACAAGAGGGUACCUGAGUAAUAAGCCACGGCUAACUACCUGCCAGCCGCCGCGGUAAUACGUAGGUGGCAAGCGUUGUCCGGAUUUACUGGGUGUAAAGGGGGUGUAGCCGGAGAGACAAGUCAUAUGUGAAAUCCGCGGGCUCAACCCGCGAAUUGCAUUUGAAACUGUUUCCCUUGAGUUUCGGAGAGGUAACCGGAAUUCUUAGUGUAGCGGUGAAAUGCGUAGAUAUUAGGAAGACCACCAGUGGGGAAGGCGGGUUACUGGAGGCCAACUGACGAUGAGGCGGGAAAGCGUGGGGAGCAAA
rnacentral:rRNA from 1 species